rnacentral:rRNA from 1 species
GCAGUCGAACGGCAGCACGGACUUCGGUCUGGUGGCGAGUGGCGAACGGGUGAGUAAUGUAUCGGAACGUGCCUAGUAGCGGGGGAUAACUACGCGAAAGCGUAGCUAAUACCGCAUACGCCCUACGGGGGAAAGCAGGGGAUCGCAAGACCUUGCACUAUUAGAGCGGCCGAUAUCGGAUUAGCUAGUUGGUGGGGUAACGGCUCACCAAGGCGACGAUCCGUAGCUGGUUUGAGAGGACGACCAGCCACACUGGGACUGAGACACGGCCCAGACUCCUACGGGAGGCAGCAGUGGGGAAUUUUGGACAAUGGGGGAAACCCUGAUCCAGCCAUCCCGCGUGUGCGAUGAAGGCCUUCGGGUUGUAAAGCACUUUUGGCAGGAAAGAAACGUCAUGGGUUAAUACCCCGUGAAACUGACGGUACCUGCAGAAUAAGCACCGGCUAACUACGUGCCAGCAGCCGCGGUAAUACGUAGGGUGCAAGCGUUAAUCGGAAUUACUGGGCGUAAAGCGUGCGCAGGCGGU